rnacentral:rRNA from 1 species
CUUGACAUCCAGAGAAUUUAGCAGAGAUGCUUUAGUGCCUUCGGGAACUCUGAGACAGGUGCUGCAUGGCUGUCGUCAGCUCGUGUUGUGAAAUGUUGGGUUAAGUCCGCAACGAGCGCAACCCUUAUCCUUUGUGCCAGCACGUAAUGGUGGGAACUCAAAGGAGACUGCCGGUGAUAAACCGGAGGAAGGUGGGGAUGACGUCAAGUCAUCAUGGCCCUUACGAGUAGGGCUACACACGUGCUACAAUGGCGUAUACAAAGAGAAGCGACCUCGCGAGAGCAAGCGGACCUCAUAAAGUGCGUCGUAGUCCGGAUUGGAGUCUGCAACUCGACUCCAUGAAGUCGGAAUCGCUAGUAAUCGUAAAUCAGAAUGUUACGGUGAAUACGUUCCCGGGCCUUGUACACACCGCCCGUCACACCAUGGGAGUGGGUUGCAAAAGAAGUAGAUAGCUUAACCUUCGGGAGGGCGUUUACCACUUUGUGAUUCAUGACUGGGGUGAAGUCGUAACAAGGUAAGCGUAGUGCU